rnacentral:rRNA from 1 species
GAUGAACGCUAGCUACAGGCUUAACACAUGCAAGUCGAGGGGCAGCAGGGAUUUAGCUUGCUAAAUCCGCUGGCGACCGGCGCACGGGUGCGUAACGCGUAUCCAACUUUCCCGUUACUCAGGGAUAGCCUUCCGAAAGGGAGAUUAAUACCUGAUGGUGUUUGAAGUUCGCAUGUUCUUCAAACUAAAGAUUUAUCGGUAACGGAUAGGGAUGCGUGGCAUUAGAUAGUAGGCGGGGUAACGGCCCACCUAGUCUACGAUGUCUAGGGGUUCUGAGAGGAAGGUCCCCCACACUGGAACUGAGACACGGUCCAGACUCCUACGGGAGGCAGCAGUGAGGAAUAUUGGUCAAUGGUCGGAAGACUGAACCAGCCAAGUAGCGUGAAGGAUGAAGGUUCUAUGGAUUGUAAACUUCUUUUAUACGGGAAUAAAACAUCCCACGUGUGGGAUCUUGUAUGUACCGUAUGAAUAAGCAUCGGCUAACUCCGUGCCAGCAGCCGCGGUAACAC